rnacentral:rRNA from 1 species
GAUGAACGCUGGCGGCGUGCCUAAUACAUGCAAGUCGAGCGAACAGACGAGGAGCUUGCUCCUCUGACGUUAGCGGCGGACGGGUGAGUAACACGUGGAUAACCUACCUAUAAGACUGGGAUAACUUCGGGAAACCGGAGCUAAUACCGGAUAAUAUAUUGAACCGCAUGGUUCAAUAGUGAAAGACGGUUUUGCUGUCACUUAUAGAUGGAUCCGCGUGCAUUAGCUAGUUGGUAAGGUAACGGCUUACCAAGGCAACGAUGCGUAGCCGACCUGAGAGGGUGAUCGGCCACACUGGAACUGAGACACGGUCCAGACUCCUACGGGAGGCAGCAGUAGGGAAUCUUCCGCAAUGGGCGAAAGCCUGACGGAGCAACGCCGCGUGAGUGAUGAAGGUCUUCGGAUCGUAAAACUCUGUUAUUAGGGAAGAACAAAUGUGUAAGUAACUAUGCACGUCUUGACGGUACCUAAUCAGAAAGCCACGGCUAACUACGUG